rnacentral:rRNA from 1 species
UACGUAGGGUGCAAGCGUUGUCCGGAAUUAUUGGGCGUAAAGAGCUCGUAGGCGGUCUGUCGCGUCUGCUGUGAAAACUCGGGGCUUAACCCCGGGCCUGCAGUGGGUACGGGCAGACUAGAGUGUGGUAGGGGAGAUCGGAAUUCCUGGUGUAGCGGUGAAAUGCGCAGAUAUCAGGAGGAACACCGGUGGCGAAGGCGGAUCAUCCUGG